CAUCGCUGGACUAGAUACAGCAAAUGCGUUAAUCGAAGAGGGAGCGUGUUUACUGGCGUUGCCUAGCAAUUGGUCGCCUCGUCUAGCUUCAGUGUUCCGGCGUUCAGCAUCCUGUCGGCGUUUUAUCUUGAAAACGUCUAUUAUAAGCUAUAUAUUACAUACAUUUUGUACAAUGAAUUUUGUCGCCAGUGAAACUGCAGCAGAACAAAUGAUAAACUACCUUUCUGUGAGGCGACUGGCAUGUGGACAGCACCGGGACUGGGUAGUAAUAUAGACCCACAGCAACAGGUCAGUGCCGAGGAGUUAUCUUGAAGACAGUUGGCUCUACAGAGCAGUUGAGAGAGAGAGCUCCAGAGGAUUGAGGACUAAGGAUGGAGGUUUCAAUAGUUGAAGCGUUACCAAGUAACAACUAGCAAACAGAUGUUGAAGAAUUCAUUUUUUGUGUUACAGUCAGGGCUUGAGGUGGGGCGGGAUGGCAUCCCGGUU